GAACCGUACAAACGUUAUUCGGAAUUACUGGGCUUAAAGGGUGCGUAGGCGGCGCGGUAAGUUGGGUGUGAAAUCCCUCGGCUCAACCGAGGAAUUGCGCUUGAUACUGCCGUGCUCGAGGGAGACAGAGGUGAGCGGAACUUAGGGUGGAGCGGUGAAAUGCGUUGAUAUCCUAAGGAACACCAGUGGCGAAAGCGGCUCACUGGGUCUCUUCUGACGCUGAGGCACGAAAGCUAGGGGAGCGAACGGGAUUAGAUACCCCGGUAGUCCUAGCUGUAAACGAUGAGCACUGGGUUGGAGGGUCCUCCAUAGCCUUCCAGCCGCAGCGAAAGUGUUAAGUGCUCCGCCUGGGGAGUAUGGUCGCAAGGCUGAA
rnacentral:rRNA from 1 species